GCUCACGAGAGGCAGCGCGAAGCACCUGGCUGGCUGCCCGGCAACCUCUUCCUCCGUCUGAGGUGCUCCCAGGGGAAGAGCCGGCCGUGCGGCGCCCGCCGCCCGGCAAGGACGGAGC
rnacentral:ncRNA from 1 species